rnacentral:misc_RNA from 1 species
GAUGAAGAACGUAGCGAAAUGCGAUAAGUAAUGUGAAUUGCAGAAUUCAGUGAAUCAUCGAAUCUUUGAACGCACAUUGCGCCCGGCAGUACUCUGCCGGGCAUGCCUGUUCGAGCGUCAUUUCAACCCUCAAGCCCUGCUUGGUGUUGGGGCCCCACGGCUGCCGUGGGCCCUGAAAGGAAGUGGCGGGCUCGCUACAACUCCGAGCGUAGUAAUUCAUUAUCUCGCUUAGGGCGUUGGGCGGCGCUCCAGCCGUUAAAGAACCAUCUUUAACUCAAGGUUGACCUCGGAUCAGGUAGGAAUACCCGCUGAACUUAAGCAUAUCAAUACGCGGAGGA